rnacentral:lncRNA from 1 species
UCCCUGCCAUGGAGGCAGGCUCCCGCCACCCGGCUAGGGCAGAAACCUUCCUCUUUCAUCCUCGAUUUCACGGCCCAGAGGUUUUGUGUUAGGACUUAGUUGCCAGAGCCACGUUGUGGCCUCAUCGUCUUGGAUUUCGUUUAAAAAGAAAUUUGAGCAGCGAGCUGGCGUCAGAUCUACUGUGAAAGUUAUGAUAUGACUUUAAAGGACAUAUAAUCUGCUGUGCUUUUCAAAACUCCAAAAUAGGACAAGAAAUGUUCUUACUUGACAGCAAAAUGAGACCCAAGUAUGAAACCAGCCUCAAGUCUUACUUAUUCCAAGUUGUUGGAACAAAUAUCUGUGAAAGAAAACCAGCCCAUCUCAGUAGGAAUGGUCAGUCCUUAAAUUAGAAAGUGGCAGGGAUCUUACAAACCAUAUAUUCAUUUCUCACAGUGUUCCUAUGUCUACGGCAGCAAGCAAAGCUUAGGAAGGUUUCCUGUCAUACUGACAAGCAAUCUGCGGAAUGUACAAACAUUAUCAAGAUCAGGGUAGGACCUUGCAAGCCCAGCCUGUGCACGCAGAUGAAGGAGGAAGGCGUCUGCUGGCCCAAGUAAUGGCUCAAUGUGUCUCCCCACAAAAGUAUCUGCAACUGGAAUUUGCCAACAGUUCCACAAACCACCCCGGACCAGCACGUCAGGGAGAAAGGGAAGAAUGAUUCAAGAUGGAUCUGCUUUCCAUAUUUGUGAGCCUCCUGGCAGAUGCAAAGAACUAACUACUUACUACUGGCAAAAAGAACGUCACUUCUCUCUAGGGAUGCUGCGGACCAUACAGUCAUCUAUGCAAAAGAAGCUGGAGAGCUUUGGGUGGCCCUUUGCAAGUCUAGGUGCCUCUGUAACGACAGAACCAUUCUCCAAUAGCGCUACAACUCCCUCUCAGAGGAAAACGGCCCAAACAGCACUUUUCAGCACCGGAGCCAGGUCUCAAGUUCAGGAACUGUUUCAUUCUGGAAAUCCCAUACUGUCAGAAAACUUUAUAUCCAACCACUAA